rnacentral:rRNA from 1 species
AUUGGAGGAAAGUAGGGGAUCGCAAGACCUCGCGCGAUUGGAGCGGCCGAUGUCUGAUUAGCUAGUUGGUGAGGUAAAGGCUUACCAAGGCGUCGAUCAGUAGCUGGUCUGAGAGGACGACCAGCCACACUGGGACUGAGACACGGCCCAGACUCCUACGGGAGGCAGCAGUGGGGAAUUUUGGACAAUGGGCGAAAGCCUGAUCCAGCAAUGCCGCGUGAGUGAAGAAGGCCUUCGGGUUGUAAAGCUCUUUCAGUCGAGAAGAAAAGAUUAUGACUAAUAAUCAUAAUUUAUGACGGUAUCGACAGAAGAAGCACCGGCUAACUACGUGCCAGCAGCCGCGGUAAUACGUAGGGUGCGAGCGUUAAUCGGAAUUACUGGGCGUAAAGGGUGCGCAGGCGGCCCCGCAAGUCAGGCGUGAAAUCCCCGAGCUUAACUUGGGAAUUGCGUUUGAAACUACAAGGCUAGAAU